GGGGGGAUAGCUCAGUGGUAGAGUGCAUGCAGAAGGUCCUGGGUUCAAUCCCCAAUACCUCCA
rnacentral:tRNA from 1 species